rnacentral:rRNA from 1 species
GAUGAACGCUGGCGGCGUGCCUAAUACAUGCAAGUCGAGCGAACAGACGAGGAUCUUUCUCCUCUGACGUUAGCGGCGGACGGGUGAGUAAAACGUGGAUAACCUACCUAUAAGACUGGGAUAACUUCGGGAAACCGGAGCUAAUCCCGGAUAAUAUAUUGAACCGCAUGGUUCAAUAGUGAAAGACGGUUUUGCUGUCACUUAUAGAUGGAUCCGCGCCGCCUUAGCUACUUGUUAUGGUAGCGGCGUACCAAGGCAACGAUGCGUAGCCGACGUGAGAGGGGGAUCGGCCACACUGGAACUGAGACGCGGUCCAGACUCCUACGGGAGGCAGCAGUAGGGAAUCUUCCGGAAUGGGCGAAAGCCUGAUGGAGCAACGCCGCGUGAGUGAUGAAGGUCUUCGUAUCGUAAAACUCUGUUAUUAGGGAAGAACAAAUGUGUAAGUAACUAGGCACGUCUUGACGUUACCUAAUCAGAAAGCCACGGCUAACUACGUG